GCGGGCCGGGCCGUCCCGGGGCCGCGCUGCCGGCGGGGCGGGCCGGGGGGGGGGGCGGCGGUGUCCGCCUCUUCAUCCGCGCUCGCUGUGGCGGCCGCUCCGCCCGCGCAGGUAGUUGGAGGGCUGGCAGGCAGCGGGUGCUGCAGCCCCUUCCUUCCUUUCUGUUUGUUUGGGGUUUUUUUUUUCCCUUCACCUGGACACCCCGCAGUUUAUGAGAAGUGCGUGAGGUGGUUUUCUUUGCAUGGCGGUCAGUGCGUGGAAGUCUUGAGUCGCGCCUCUGCGAGGUUGACUUGAAAUGCCUGGGUUUGCGUCUGGGCAUCAUGGACAUAUCCAUGGUCGUGGUGAUUCUUGGAUCAUAUGGUUUCUGGAUCAAAGGUUGAUGGCUCACAAGCAUUAAGAGGUUUCAUCUGGACUCAGCUGUACACAUCACAUUUCAGAAGACAGUCUUUGACCCUUUCCUGGACUAGGAAUGGAAGCCAACUGAAGCAGGAGGAUGCUGUUCUUCCAGAACUACUUUGCGGUGCUCUCUUUUGAUGCCAUUGCUGGAAUCAUGCAAACCAGGGUGAUUCCAAGCUACUUUGCUAAUUUGCCUUCAUCCAUCUAUACCAAAUGUGAUAACCACUGCUUAUAAUACAUUGUUUUCAAUCUUCUCUGCACCAUUCUUGCACUCAUUCCCUAGGAAGAAUUUCAGCUGGUGGUUAUAGAUCUUCAGCUCAAUAUUAUGUGCCCCAGAGAAGGCAGAGGGGAUGAAGAGAAGCUCUGCACCCUCCUCUCUUGAUGCCAGCCUGCUUAACUUUCCUGGUAUCUUUAUGGGAAAGCUUUCAGUCAAGUUUAGAGUUUUCCUUCCUUCUGUAAACCUAGUGGGUUUAGACAGCGUGACAGUGGUACAUACUGUCAGCUAAGUGUUGGUACUUAGAUGUGCCUGAGCUCCCUGUAUAGUCAUUGGACAUGAUUCAGGGGCAACAGUCACACAUUUAGUGCAGUUUUAGGAACUGCAUGGUAUCCACAGUUCUAUCUACCCAUCUACCCUCCAGCUGCCACUGAGUCUUCCGUGGGUCAGUCCUGGGUCUCAUCUGCCACCUUCACAUGGAUAUCAUGGAUACCGUAAGUGAUCUCAAACAGCACUGGAGCCUUAUCUGUGGAUAAAUAAAUUAAGCUCCUACCUCACAUCCUUUAGCUUUCUCUAUAUUUACUGGUAAGAAAUAGGUGUCUAUUUAUCUCACCUAUCUGAAAAUGGGCUGGUGUGCCCCCUGGGGAUUCCUGUCUCUAUCCAUUGAUUUAAUAGGAAGUUAAGUGAGUAGAUGAGGUCAGAUAACUUAUUUUUAGAUGGCUGUAGAGAGAUGAAAUGAAUCCCAUCCAUGAUGGCACAUGAUUAAUGCUGGAACAGUAAGCACCUUGCACUUUGCUCUUAAAUGUCAUAAUAAUUUUUUGGUAGAUUUAAUGUGUUUUUAAAAGUGAUCCUGCUUUUAUUAAAUUGAUCCUUGUUAAUUAUAAUCUAAUACAUUUUAGAAGAGGCCUUAAAGGGUAAUGAUUUAUGUAUCUAUGUUCAAAAAUCAGAAAUAUCAGACAGCAAGUCAGCAAACUCCUACUGAAUUCAGAACAUGCAUUUGAGAAGUGAUUUCAAAUCCCUAUGCAAGUCAAAUAGAGGGAGAAGUAUGUACAAGAGAUAUUGUUAUAUUGUAACAAACCAUAAAGAAGCUUUCAACUAUAUAGCAUGUUGACAGGCUGUUCAAAAUCAAGUGUUUAGCCUCACUCUUUACCUCGAUAACCGCGUUUCCCUCUUUGCUUCACACAUAUAUUAUGCCAUACUUAACACACAAUAGGAAAAAAAAAGGUAAUAUUUUCUUUUCUGAGAGCCAACUUUGUCGUGAUGCACCCCAUCACUCCUCUUGUCUUUUAUCAUAAGAAAAGCACCCUGUACUUGCUUAUAUAGCAAACAGAUCUUUCCUAGCAGUAGUCCUGAUAUCCAGCCCAGGGAUUUAUAAGGCCAGGAAGCAAAGUGUAGUCUUGCCCCUCAAGAAUUAACUGCUAGUGUACUCUGCCAAAAACAAAGUGGGGGGAAAUAGGAAAAAAAAGAAAAAAAAAAAGAAAAAAAAAGGAAAACAAACACCAAACAUAACAUUUUUUCUUAAGUCAUGUAUCUCUAAAGAGACUGGAUUUACAUUCUUUCUCUGUAGUCAGUGUUCAUGUUAGCGACACAGCCUCAAUGGUUGAUUAAUACUGAUAAAACAACAUAACAGUAUUUAUAGAUAUGAAGACAGAAGGCAGGGCAUAUUCCUAUUCCUAUUGCAAUGCUCAUUCCACAGAUUUAUUUAUUCAUUGACCAGUCACACCUAGCAUGGUAGUUUUGUGGACAACACAUACCCAGAAGCCUUAGUGGUUUUCAUGCAUUAUCUAUAUCUGCUUUUCUUAGAUAGCUCUUUUCUGAUCACGAUUCAAACAGCUGCUGCAGUUACUGAAUUUCUUCUGGUAUAUCCCACUCAGCUGCUGUGUCUCAAAAGAACUCUGCUGGUCUGAUGAGGAGCUGCAUGUCAAAUGCUAGAAGGAAUGAGGAAUAGUGCAGGGAAAUGUCUGAAAUGUCAAAAACUCAAGAAAAAUCCUCUCAGAAAAAAAUAAAAGUACCUGUGCAAACUCG